rnacentral:rRNA from 1 species
UACGUAGGGUGCGAGCGUUAAUCGGAAUUACUGGGCGUAAAGUGUGCGCAGGCGGCCGCGCAAGUCGAGUGUGAAAUCCCCGAGCUUAACUUGGGAAUUGCGCUCGAACUACGUGGCUGGAGUGUGGCAGAGGAAGGUGGAAUUCCACGUGUAGCGGUGAAAUGCGUAGAGAUGUGGAGGAACACCGAUGGCGAAGGCAGCCCCCUGGGCUAACACUGACGCU